UUAACUUAUUUUUUUAGGUUUCAGAGAUACACUAAACAGUAAGAAUUUAAGUGGUCUUCGGCAGGCGGACGCGAGCCCGCCCUGGGGCCGCCCGCCGAAGCAACUAAAAGAGUAGAAUAAUGACAAAGGGUUGGAGUUUUACAACUCAGUAAUGAUCCCUCCGCUGGUUCACCAACGGAGA
rnacentral:misc_RNA from 1 species